rnacentral:rRNA from 1 species
GACGAACGCUGGCGGCGUGCUUAACACAUGCAAGUCGAACGGAAAGGCCCUGCUUUUGUGGGGUGCUCGAGUGGCGAACGGGUGAGCAACACGUGAGUAACCUGCCCUUGACUUUGGGAUAACUUCAGGAAACUGGGGCUAAUACCGGAUAGGAGCUCCUGCUGCAUGGUGGGGGUUGGAAAGUUUCGGCGGUUGGGGAUGGACUCGCGGCUUAUCAGCUUGUUGGUGGGGUAGUGGCUUACCAAGGCUUUGACGGGUAGCCGGCCUGAGAGGGUGGCCGGCCACAUUGGGACUGAGAUACGGCCCAGACUCCUACGGGAGGCAGCAGUGGGGAAUAUUGCACAAUGGGCGGAAGCCUGAUGCAGCAACGCCGCGUGCGGGAUGACGGCCUUCGGGUUGUAAACCGCUUUCGCCUGUGACGAAGCGUGAGUGACGGUAAUGGGUAAAGAAGCACCGGCUAACUACGUG